ACGUCUCCCAUAAACCUGACUUGAUACAUCUGUCCUGCUGGCAGCCGGAGGCCACCAAGAAUCCAGCUGGCUCUUUGCCUCUUCUAAGAGACUCCGUCAGACAAGGAGCUCCCUAAAGCCCUUCACUCAGACUGAAGAAGGCAUCCUGCCCAAGACAGUCACAGAGAAGUGGGCAUGCAGUAGGCUCACGUGUGAUAGUCCAGGUGCACAAGGAAGACUCGCACAUCCGGCAAUGAGAACAAGAUGGGAGAGAGAGCAGUUCACCCUCGCCCUUGCUCUUCAGAACACCAUUCUCCUACAGCCACGUGCAACCCAGCCUUCACUUUCAUCCUGGUCCGGUUCUGCUCGCUAAGAUGAUACAACAUAAAUCUAGGUUGCUGAUGUCCAGUUUCCAGAGUAAAUACGGUCAUUUUUUUUACAUGGAUGAUCCAGCCUAGAACAUCCUGUACUUCGCUUUCAGGCCGACACACUCUAGCAUCGCCGGCUUUAAAGGAAGUCCACCAGUGUGAGUAGUGUGAGCCCUUUGCUCACCUCCUGCUUCGCAGUUCACACUGCUGACCGUGUGAAAGGAGGUCACACCACCCCUGGGUAAGAGUCUGGGCUUUUUCGGGGGUCUUCGUCAUGUUGGUGAUGCUGCUGUACUGAAGAGGUUUCCAGGGCUCACAGGUGAAGCAAAUUCUCUUGGUGGACUUCUGGCCCUCAACGGAGAUUGCGUAAUGACUAUUGCAUGGUUUUAACUUCAGUUUUCCUGGUCCUGCAGCUCACAACACAUACCAACCACUGGUGGGGGCGUGUGUGUGCACAACAGCCCCAGAAAGGGCUGUGAGCCUUAACUUGCCUCUCUCUAUAACUUGUCUAGGAGGUUCUGGAAGAUACUGGAAGGAGGGGCUGCAGAACCCUGGCUGCCAUAGCACUGGCCUCUGUUUGAUGAGGGGAAUAAUCCGUGGAACUCGGUGACAUUUUCUUUCUAUUUAUUCUUUAUAUUUUAAUGGAAUUCUGUGGUCCAGACUGGGUUUCAGGCUCCCGGCUCUCAGAGUCAGCUGAAGUACAAGGGGGAAAGAAAGUAGUGGGGGGAAUUAGAUUCUUGAUUUGUGUCCAGAUGGUCCCAGCCGAAAAUAGACUCCGAGAUUCUCACUGCAGACUUGCCUCUGGUAUGAAACUCCCCACCCCCUUCACUUGAGGUCUUCUUGGUAAGAGCGGGAAUGGGAGACACACUGGGAACAUUCAUUUCUCUUUUUCCCAGCCGUGUAUUAAAAGGCCUGUGCAGGUUCCAGGCCAGGGCUUCUGAGGAACACCAGAGCUGCACCACACACACACAACAGGCUGGGGUGAUGUGAUUUUAACCAUCCUGGCUCGAAGGCUAUCCUGAGUGUGUGUGGCAGCAGGGAAGCAUGCUGGGAUGCACAGCAGCAGUUGGCCCAGAGGGGUCCAUUCAAGCCUGCCACCAGCAGAGUGGCCUGCUCGCACUUACCUGGCACCAUGUUCAGGAAGCUUAAACAAGGAGACAGAGAGGGCCUAGCCCGUGCUCUCCAGGUACAGCCAUCUUUCACAGAGACACUCGCUACCUGCUUCCCUUAGGGAGAGGUGGACAGGCUUCCUUGUGCCCUGCUCAAAGGUCAGCUGAGAGAUGAGGGGAUGGGGGUCAUCUGUGAGGGCAGCCCAAAGAGCCUUGAAGAUGCUCAUCCAUUGGAAAUAGGAAAAAAAAUGAGAUUUCAGGGCUCACCUCAGAUUCUAUAAGCUACGAUUUGAUAACAAAACCCAACCUGACCUAGAGUCUAGUAUCAGCCAGUCACACCCCAUUUGGACAGCCACCCCAAGUAUUAUCACAGAGUUCCUGUCAUUUCUUGAUGUUUGUUCACUGGGAGCCGUAGCCACUCUAGACACUACACACAGUUGCUGUCUGUCCUAAAGUCUGAUACACUCUCUUCUGCCAGGCAACAUAGUGAUUGUCCUUUGGAUACCAGUAAAAUGAAUUGUGAUCAGGUAGAAGGUGAAGGAAAGAAAGAAAGAAAUAAAGAAAGAAAGAAAGAAAGAAAGAAAGAAAGAAAGAAAGAAAGAAAGAAAUCACAUGAGUCUUUCUCAAUUGGAUUUCCUUUCUAACUAACGUGUGAACAGCCUCAGAUGAUGUCUUCGUCACUGUUCCAUUGCUGUGAAAAGUCACCUUGACUAUGGCGGCUCUUAUAGAAGAACGCAUCUGACUGGGGCUCGUUGACAGUUGCAGAGGUUUAGUCCACUACCAUCAUGGAGGUCCAAGGUCAGAAGCCUCUUGUGUUCUCCAUCUGCCCUGGAAACAGACUGGCAGUGCCUGCCCAAGGGUCUGGUCCUGAACUGAAGCAGCAGCCGUAGUUUGACCGACACUCCUGCAAAGCUACAAUCUGAAAAACAUCAAUUAAUGACAAGCUUUGUGAGACAAACCCCAUGGAACCAUUUCUGACCCAAAAUACACCUGGAACAUAUGAAGACCUGUUAGAAAAGACAGACAGACCUGCUCUGAAUGUGACAGCAGCCCAGAUUAAAGGACAUGACGAAGAAACAUGGGUUUUUCCCUUUUGCCCUCACUCUCUGUAUCCUGUUGCCAUGGUAUUUCUUUAUCAACCUUAUUACCAUCUUCCUCAGGAUUCCACUGCAGACUGAAGACCAGCAGGUCUCCACGAAGUCCAGUCUUCAAUGCUAGAUUGAGACUACUGAGACACACAGUACUUGGAUUGAACAAGUACUAGAUUCUUGACCUCUAGUGUGAGGCAGCCAUUGCUGAAUUACCUGGACUGUAUCCUAUAAGCCAGUCUAAUAAUUUCCCUCUUAAGAUAUAGUUAAGAUGCUGCUAUUCAAUCAGUACAGACCUGAAGUUGUGCUUAUUAGGAAUUGAGCAACAGGCUGGGAACUCAGAGUGUCUGUCAGCUUGGAGGAGGCAUGCAACCUCUUGAGACCAGAGUACACCCACUGAAAUUCUGGGACUCCUGACUGUGAUCACGAUGUUAACUCCUCAAAGCAGAACAACAAGGUUGGAUGUUCAACCUAUGUGGGAAAGAAAACACAUUGUAAGGAACCUGCUAAUCUUUAUUUCCCCUCCCCCACCAUUUCUUCAUGAAAAGGAUGGUCUUUCCUGGAAGGAGAAGGACACUCUACUCUGUGCUUCAAGGAUGCUUACGCCUCAAAUUUGGCACAUCUCCCUACCUGCCUGCUGGGUGCCCAAGCUCUUCCUACAGUCAGAUGGCACUGGCCCUGAGAAAGCCAGCGUAGAUGCCAGGCUCUUUUCUGAAAGACAAUAUCAAGGCACUACACAUUCAUUACAGAGUUCUCUCACCUCAUGUUCCAAGUAGUUUUAUGGGUACAAAUGCUGUUUGUACCACACUACUAGUACAUGCUCAUUGUACACACUAAUGGGCUGUGCAUCUGCCCCAGGACCUAGCAACUACUUCUCAGGUUUCUUUCCCAUCUCUCUUUGUUUUCACAUCCAGCAGGAGAGUGGAUGUAGGAAAUAUGACCUAUAUGCAACAGCAUAUUUUCAGGGAUGAGGAAAUGCAAAAUCUUUACAUUUGCAGCAACAUGGAUAGAACUAGAGGACGUUGUGCUAAGCAAAAUAAACCCAGCAUCAAAAGACAGGUGGCAAUCUCAUGCUCCAUUGCAUCAUGGGAAUUGUUUCCACUGGAUUAAUUUAUAGUCCCAUCCUUUUCUCCAUGUACCUUUUAACAAGUAAUUGUUUUUCUGUUUUAUCUCUUCGAUUGUUUGUUUCUUAAGCCAUUGUAAUCGGAGUGAGGUAAUAUCUCAUUGCAUCUUCGAUUGUCAUUUCCCCAAUGGCUCAUGCUGUCAAGCACCUUCUCAGACAGCUACUGACUGUUGCAUUUCUUGUUUUGAGAAGUGACUUCUGGCAUUAUUUGUCCAGAUUUAGUUGGCUCAUCUAUUUUUUAUUAGGCUUUUUGAGCUCUUUGUGUAUUCUGGAUAGCAAUCCUCUGUCCAGCGAGAAACUGGCACAGGUGUGCUCUCCUUCUGCGGGCCGAGGCUUCUCUCUGUUGAGUGUCUCCUGUGCUGCAGGAGAUGAUGUGAUCCUGUUUUUCGAGUUCUGCUUUGUUUCCUCUGCAUUUGGCAUUCUGUCCACAGAGUCGUUGCUCAUAACAAUGUGUUGAAGAACCUC